rnacentral:rRNA from 1 species
CCUGCGGCUGGAUCAUUAUCGA